UACAGAGGUCUCAAGCGUUGUUCGGAUUCAUUGGGCGUAAAGGGUGCGUAGGCGGCGCGGUAAGUCGGGUGUGAAAUUUCGGAGCUUAACUCCGAAACUGCAUUCGAUACUCCCGUGCUUGAGGACUGGAGAGGAGACUGGAAUUUACGGUGUAGCAGUGAAAUGCGUAGAGAUCGUAAGGAAGACCAGUGGCGAAGGCGGGUCUCUGGACAGUUCCUGACGCUGAGGCACGAAGGCCAGGGGAGCAAACGGG
rnacentral:rRNA from 1 species